rnacentral:lncRNA from 1 species
GAAAAGCCUUUUGAUUGACUAUCUCGAUAUCGAGAUGUAUGACCAUGAAAUAUAAAAAGAUUUUAAUUCUCAUAAAUAGUACAUUUUACAACAUAUUAUCUACACUGUCUAUUUUCAAGAUUUUCAUAUGUUUAUAGAUCUACUUGAUUGACUUUAACCAUUUUUAAAAUUUAAAAUUUUAUAAUUAGAUGUGAAAAUAUAUUUUGAGAUAAUUCUAAGAACAUUUUACAUCAAACUUAUAUACCAUGAUAAAAUUU